rnacentral:lncRNA from 1 species
UGAAUUGCAGAUUUUGGUUGAGGUUACCUUAGUCGAACUGAGGUUUUUCUGGACUGCUGUUGACAUUGAGCUGAAAAUGAUAUUUUUGAGCUUUUCUUGAUGCUAUCUUUGUAGGCAGAGGAAUCUUGGACCUAAGACGCAUCACCCAUCAGUAUUUUCUGGAUUUGGGACUGUCCUCACCUGAUUUGGAGAUCGUUAGGUGAGUUUUGACAUUGAAGUGGGGAGAAAUCCAAGCUUAAGUGCUGAAAUUGGUUUUUGGUAGAUUUUAGUGGAAUUGAUGUUUAGAUCUUGAUUGUGGAUCUUUGUUGGCUGAAAGCAGGUGCAGCUGGUUCCGACAGGGUGUCCCGCAGCUGAGUGACCUUCUUUGUCGCCAGGAUUAGCAAUUAAGGUGGGUUACAUCGGUUUAUUUCCUAAGCACAUUAUUCGUCGACAUGUAUGAUUUACAGUCUUUGUAAAUAAUGUUGUAGCUCAAUUUCGUUGAUUGUAUCAUGGAUGAAAUCAGCAUUGAGGAUAUGAUUAGUAAACCAUAAAUAUACAUGUUGGACUUGAAACUUGACUUAGGAGAAAACCAGCGAUUUGGACCUGUCACCUGUUUACACUACCUGAUUUAGCUCUAGGAGCCGGUGUAAUUUUGUAUCGUCGCAGUAUCGAGGCGACGGGUAUCACAGGUAGUUUAGCUUUCAGUUACGCUCGUGCUGGGAUGCCGAAUGUAUUUUUACAGUAGCGUUCAGGCUGUUCUGGACUGUUGGGUUCCGUCGGGGUUGACGGUGGACCUAUAUCGCCUUUUUGGCGUCGGAUUGUGCCGAGGGCACGUGACCUGUUGGUUGUUAGACCAGU